GGCCCCAUCGUCUAGCCUGGUCCAGGACACUUGGUUCUCAGCCAAGGAACACCGGUUCGAAUCCGGUUGGGGCUACCA
rnacentral:tRNA from 1 species